CUGGCUAUACUGGCUUACUGACCGAAUGUGUUCGGUUGACACAAGUUCUCCAUUUGACGUAUGGUUCAAUGAACCCAUGGAUAUCGAGAUCUCGACUAGUCCUCUAGUGCUUGCUCCCAUUUCCUCAAUUCCGAUUGGAAAGCACUUCAGCCGCCAAACAAUGGUGAAAGGAGAAAAAUAAAGAAAAUAACUACCGGACACCGAGAAACACACAUAAAUUUAUAGUUGAGCCAUGGAAAACAAUGAGAUGGAAAAGCGGUCGGCUUUCUUUUCCAUUCAUCCGGAUCCGGAUCCCCGACUGAAGUGAUUUCCGUUGUUUUUCGUUGUGCUGCGAGCGUUGGUGCAUUCAAUGGAGUGCACUCUCCUCGCAAAGGAGCACUUGAACUGCAGCAAGAAAAGAC
ensembl:ncRNA lncRNA:CR44456 long non-coding RNA:CR44456